GAUGAACGCCGGCGGUGUGCCUAAUACAUGCAAGUCGUACGCACUGGCCCAACUGAUUAAUGGUGCUUGCACCUGAUUGACGAUGGAUCACCAGUGAGUGGCGGACGGGUGAGUAACACGUAGGUAACCUGCCCCGGAGCGGGGGAUAACAUUUGGAAACAGAUGCUAAUACCGCAUAACAACAAAAGCCACAUGGCUUUUGUUUGAAAGAUGGCUUUGGCUAUCACUCUGGGAUGGACCUGCGGUGCAUUAGCUAGUUGGUAAGGUAACGGCUUACCAAGGCGAUGAUGCAUAGCCGAGUUGAGAGACUGAUCGGCCACAAUGGAACUGAGACACGGUCCAUACUCCUACGGGAGUCAGCAGUAGGGAAUCUUCCACAAUGGGCGCAAGCCUGAUGGAGCAACACCGCGUGAGUGAAGAAGGGUUUCGGCUCGUAAAGCUCUGUUGUUGGAGAAGAACGUGCGUGAGAGUAACUGUUCACGCAGUGACGGUAUCCAACCAGAAAGUCACGGCUAACUACGUGCCAGCAGCCGCGGUAAUACGUAGGUGGCAAGCGUUAUCCGGAUUUAUUGGGCGUAAAGCGAGCGCAGGCGGUUGCUUAGGUCUGAUGUGAAAGCCUUCGGCUUAACCGAAGAAGUGCAU
rnacentral:rRNA from 1 species